GGCCAGACUCCUACGGGAGGCAGCAGUGGGGAAUAUUGCACAAUGGGGGGAACCCUGAUGCAGCGACGCCGCGUGGGCGAGGAAGUAUUUCGGUAUGUAAAGCCCUAUCGGCAGGGAAGAAGAAAUGACGGUACCUGAAUAAGAAGCACCGGCUAAAUACGUGCCAGCAGCCGCGGUAAUACGUAUGGUGCAAGCGUUAUCCGGAUUUACUGGGUGUAAAGGGGGCGCAGACGGCAGCGCAAGCCAGGAGUGAAAGCCCGGGGCCCAACCCCGGGACUGCUCUUGGAACUGCGCGGCUGGAGUGCAGGAGGGGCAGGCGGAAUUCCUAGUGUAGCGGUGGAAUGCGUAGAUAUCGGGAGGAACACCAGUGGCGAGGGCGGCCUGCUGGACAUUAACUGACGCUGAGGCGCGAAAGCGUGGGGAGCAAACAGGAUUAGAUACCCGUGUA
rnacentral:rRNA from 1 species